UUAUGUUCUUGAAACUUAAAAGAUUUGGCGGUAAAUAUAUUUAUUAGAGGAACUUGUAUAUUAAUAGAUAUUACUCUUUUAACUCAUCCUUAUUUUUUUUUAUUAGUAUAUCGUUGUUUAGAAAUUUUUUAUUGAAUUAAUUUUCUUUUUCUGUUUUAAAUAAAAUCAAAUCAAGGUGCUAUUAUAAUAAGGUUUAUAUGUGUUACAUUUAAUUUAUUAAUUUUGGCUUAUAUUUUUCAAUAUUUAUAUAAAAUUGGAUUUAAUUGUAAAUUAUAUAUUAAUAUGUUUAAUUGAUAAAAUUCUUAUUUGUGUACACA
rnacentral:rRNA from 1 species